UACGUAGGUGGCAAGCGUUAUCCGGAAUUAUUGGGCGUAAAGCGCGCGUAGGCGGCGAGAUUAGUCUGAUGUGAAAGCCCCCGGCUCAACCGGGGAAGGUCAUUGGAAACUGUUUCGCUUGAGUGCAGAAGAGGAGAGUGGAAUUCCAUGUGUAGCGGUGAAAUGCGCAGAGAUAUGGAGGAACACCAGUGGCGAAGGCGGCUCUCUGGUCUGCAACUGACACUGAGGCACGAAAGCGUGGGUAGCAAACAGG
rnacentral:rRNA from 1 species